rnacentral:tRNA from 1 species
GAGCCGCUAGCUCAGGUGGUAGAGCAACAGCCUUUUAAGCUGUGGGUCGUAGGUUCGAGUCCUACGCGGCUCACCA